rnacentral:rRNA from 1 species
UACAGAGGUCUCAAGCGUUGUUCGGAUUCAUUGGGCGUAAAGCGCGCGUAGGCGGCCCUGUUAGUCCGCUGUAAAAGUCAAAGGCUCAACCUUUGAAUGCCGGUGGAUGCUGCAGGGCUAGAGUCCGGAAGAGGCGAGUGGAAUUCCUGGUGUAGCGGUGGAAUGCGCAGAUAUCGGGAGGAACACCAGUGGCGAAGGCGGACACUCUGGGCCGGUACUGACGCUGAGGAGCGAAAGCGUGGGGAGCGAACAGG